AACGAAUUGUUUGUGGAUCUGCAAAGGGGGAUUCAAUUAAUUUUCAGUUGUAGAAAAGGGAGAAGGGGGAUUCAAUUAAUUUUCCUCCUCAAGAUCAAAGAAACAAAAUCUUUGUGGCGAUGAUAGAAGGGGUUCACGACUUCACGUUAAUACACAGACUAUUGGUAAGGGCAUUAAAACAUAUAUCUGGUGUGAAAUGGCCGUACAUGCUUGAUUAGAAUAUUUUCAAGUGUUGUAGGUGUACGGCUGUGGGGAAACAUUUUCAUGGUCUAAUUUUCUAAUUAAUGUAUGCACGAGACAUGAAUCUUGGAUUCUAAACUUUUUCCUCGAUGUUUGGGCUUCCUCUAACUCUUCGUAUAUUGCACACAACAGAACACAUAGAUUCAUGUCUUCCAUGCUUGCUGUCUUGUAACAAACAGAUGUUGGGAUGGAUACUAAUUUUCUAAAUGAUUUGAACUCGUGUUGUUUUCUAUUCUACUGUCAUUGGUUCAUCAUUCUGAACCAUUCAAUUGUUGGAACUCCGGCAUAUAUUGGUCCUGAAGUUAUGCUGAAGAGAGAAUAUGACGCAAUCUACGAUCCAUCCUAUUUUGUGCUUUAAACGGUCUGCUGCAUACUCUGCCAUCUGCUGCAUAACUUAAUUCUGUUUGCUUGGCCAUAAAAGCCUUAUUUGAUUUCUGAAUCUUCCAUUAACCUUUCGUUGUCAUGAGUGGUGAAUGGUCUUGAGGAGUAACCAUUUAGAUACUGUAUGUUUUUUUUGCUCAAACACGAUCUCGAGAUUGAUAAUAGCAGAGAGAUAAUAUACGCCUUAUAAUCUUGUAACUAUAGAAAAAAGUAUAGAUAACCCCCAGAAGUAUCCCGUUUGGAUCACAUAACCCCCCCCCAUGUUUAAAACCGAGUUCUUAAUCCCCUGAACUAUUCUAAACCAGACAUAUCACCCCCUGGAACCCACUUAAGUAGUUUGGGACGGUGGUUUUGCAUAUGUGGUGCCUGGGCUGGGCCCAUCGACCGGCCACGUCGGACUGGGCCUGCUGGGUGCGGUCUAAAUGACGCCCUCGAGCAGGUUCGACCCAGACUCGGCCUCUUCGCCUCCCAAUUUAGCGUGAGCUUUUUAAUUUUUCAGCAGUGUACUACAGCAAAUUGUUGAUCAUUAUACUGUUCUGUAUGCAAUGCUAUGUUAAAGAAGGAAACUUUUGACAACAAAUAUUUUAUGACUGUACUAUUCUGUAUGGAAUGGUGUGUUGCAAGAUAUUUUAUCAGAAGUGUACAUAUUAUUGGCAUCAAAUUCAGAAAUAGACAGCAAAUUUCCAUAGCAUUGAAGAUCUUAAAUUCACACAAUAAGUUCCAUGGAAUACUCAGGUUCAACCUGAUAAAAGCUAUAGGUCUUUGACAUGCAAAACUCCACAAACGACACUUAAUUGUCAAGGAAUUUGAUGUUUCACAUCAAAUAAAAGCACACACUUCUAUCUGGUGUUACACAUCAACUACGUGACAUUGAAAAACAAUCUGGGCAUUCACUUUUUCCCAGUGAGAAGCCAUUCCAGUCUGUUAUUUCUUUGCACUUGCAUCUGCUGUGAGCUUGAAGAAGCCCUGUUGUGAAUGCCCAGAUUGUAUGUGCAUCUGCUGUGAGCUUGAAGAAGCACUUGCAUCAACUACGUAACUGUAUGUGCAGAAGUAGUUGUGGUGUUCCUUCCACCUUAUGAAUUAGUCUGUGAAGAGGUGAAUAGUCAGGAGCCCAAUGGAGCCAAACAAACAUUAUGUUCAGGCUACAGAUUAUAUUCAUACUACAGCUUGAGUCUGAAUUUGUAUUGAUACACGAAAAUGUCAUGUGUGCCAAGAAAAGUAUGUUAGCUGUACAAUCAAUUUUGGUGUGCAUUUCUUAUUUAUUUUUGAGUCGGACGUGUGCAUUUCUAAUUAGAAGUAGAAGAAGAAAGAUGUGACACGGACUUCCUAAGAUCACAUACACAUAGCUGAAUAGUAUAAUUAGAAUAAUAAUAAUAAAAUUCAAAAAGCUUAUUUAUUUUGGCUACAAAUUUGCUGGAGUGUUAUAGAUGUGCAUACCAUUUCGUGAAGGAAUAACAUAAAUGGUGGUCGGGACAAACGAAAAUUGAUCAUUUUAAAAGCUUCUUGGAGCAUCGAUUUUGUUUAAUAUUGUGCAAAGCACCACAAAUAUUUUUUCUUCAUGAAAUUUUGCACAUAACCAAAAAAAUGUAAUUUUGUUGGGGAGCAGGAUUGCACAUGUGAUGUAAGAUAAAGAUAUAAGUACUGUUAGACAUGAAACCUACUCGCGCACAUGUCAAUCUCAACAUGCAUCUUGUUGUUCCGUGCAACGCACGGGCAUCUUACUAGUGUUAUCCUAAAAUUGGCUAACUGUGGCUCAUAUUGUUUUCCCCAGGUAGCUCAUGGUGAGUGAUGCGUGAGCCGUCUCGAUCCUUUUGCUAUGUUAUUAUAUUUUAGCCAUGAAGGAUUUACUGCUUGUCAGUUCGUAGUGGUUCCGGCUGUUUGCUGAACUUCUGUUCUUGCUUGUGCUAUUUUUUUUACUGUUUAGAUGGCUCAAUUUACUUCCAAUUUUACUCUUGAGUUUUCCCAUGCAUGCAUACUCUGUUAAUUUAUUCCGAGUGCCCAUAGUUCCCUCUCUAGCAGCAUCACCUGUGCUCUUGUCUCACCCAUAACAACAAUUUACUAGUAGUAUGUCUCUUGGCAUGGGUGCUAGCUUAGGUCCCUUCUACUACUACUCCACUUAGUAACUUGUCUAUAUUCUAUUACUUUGUACCUAUGUGUGUGAGCUGUGUUAUAUUCAUAUUCCUCAAGUACUACAACAUUGGUAGUUGUACACUUAUGAUGGUGAUUCGCUCCGGCCAUUCCAGUUUUGGCGGUGGUGGUGCUGCUGCUCCUAUGAUGGUAGACUCGUCUGAUUCCCCUAGCCGCAUCCAAGGUGAUGAAGCUCGGCCUAGGCUAGCACCCCCUCCAGUGAGCUCCUCAGGUCCUCUUAUACCCCUCCUACUUGCUUGUUGGUUCUAUGCUCUGCCUUUGUGAGGGGUAAUUGUUCAAUUUUGUUCAUAGUCGAGCAUUGGAUGAUAUUGUAUUUGUCAUGAUGUACAUGGUUCAUGAACUAUGCCAACCUGCAGCUUUGUUGUACUAGUGAUAGUAGGAUAAUGCAAGUUUUGACAAUCCAUGCAUAUUUCCGCAUCAUAAUAAUCUUCUUCUUCUAGUCUUCUUCUUCUAACUUUCUUCUUUCCCAUUUUACAGAUUUGCUUAAGAUCACGGAAGCUUGGGUUGAUGGAGUGCUUGUAUUUAGUUUUUGUUUUGACGUUGUGAAACUUGCUACGUAUGGAUGAAACCGUGUAAUAUUGAUGAAACUAUGUAUAUGUACGGAUGAAACUUGCUACUAUUGGUAACAUGUGUUGGAUAUAUAUGUGUUCAUGACUAUUGGUAAUAUGUGUUGAAUAUGCUAUAUUGGUCAUAUAAAUAUAUUUGUG
rnacentral:lncRNA from 1 species